rnacentral:rRNA from 1 species
CCCUUAGAUGUCCUGGGCCGCACGCGCGCUACACUGAACGGAUCAGCGCGUUUUCCCUUCCCGAGAGGGACGGGUAACCUGCUGAACCCCGUUCGUGGUAGGGAUCGGGGCUUGCAAUUAUUCCCCGUGAACCAGGAAUGCCCAGUAAGUGCAAGUCAUAAGCUUGCGUUGAUUACGUCCCUGCCCUUUGUACACACCGCCCGUCGCUCCUACCGAUUGAAUGGUCCGGUGAAGCGUUCGGACCGUGGCCUUUGGACGGUUCGCCGUCUGUUGGCUGCGGGAAGUUCGUUAAACCUUAUCAUUUAGAGGAAGGAGAANUCGUANCA